CCCUUUUUUUUGCCCAAACCCAUAAUAUUUUCCCAACCCACUUUUUCAUUCUAUUUUUACCAUACGAACAAUUACUAGGGCAUAAGUGAAAUUGAGCAGUUGAGCUCUGUAAAGCAUCGGCCUUGUGUUCCUCUUCAACUUAGGAUUUCAUUCUUCUUCUUCUCAAUAUCAAAAAUUUGAAGUCCAAAGAACCUAUCCUUGAAGCAAGUGGAGAGCAAGUUGAAGUACAAGAUAUUUUUGGUUUGUCAGAGAUGGUUUAAAGACACUGUGUUAUGUACAUAUAUGCUGCAAUUUUACUUUUUUUUGUUUUUAGGAAUUGUUAAAAAUGAUGUCUUACAAUUUGGAUUGAUUUCUGGUAAAUAUGAUACUUUAGUUCUUUGUAUUAACAGGAUAUUAAGUAUUUGGUUUCUUUUCAAAUGUUGUUGACCGUGCAUGAGAGCAUAUAAAUAAUUAUUACUAUU